rnacentral:ncRNA from 2 species
GGUCAUGAGUGCCAGCGACAAGCCCCGGCUAGCUGGUCGGCAACCCUCCUCCGCGGUGGGGUGCUCCGGGUGACGACCUGGCCGUGCCCAGGGUGGGUACGGCAAGCGUGGAUU